AGAGUUUGAUCCUGGCUCAGAUUGAACGCUGGCGGCAGGCUUAACACAUGCAAGUCGAGCGGAAACGAUGGGAGCUUGCUCCCAGGCGUCGAGCGGCGGACGGGUGAGUAACGCGUAGGAAUCUGCCUAGUAGUGGGGGAUAGCCCGGGGAAACUCGGAUUAAUACCGCAUACGCCCUACGGGGGAAAGCAGGGGAUCUUUCGAGACCUUGCGCUAUUAGAUGAGCCUGCGUCGGAUUAGCUUGUUGGUGGGGUAAAGGCCUACCAAGGCAACGAUCCGUAGCUGGUCUGAGAGGAUGAUCAGCCACACCGGAACUGAGACACGGUCCGGACUCCUACGGGAGGCAGCAGUGGGGAAUAUUGGACAAUGGGGGCAACCCUGAUCCAGCCAUGCCGCGUGUGUGAAGAAGGCCUUCGGGUUGUAAAGCACUUUAAGCAGGGAGGAAAGGCGUACGGUUAAUACCCGUGCGAGUUGACGUUACCUGCAUAAUAAGCACCGGCUAACUUCGUGCCAGCAGCCGCGGUAAUACGAAGGGUGCAAGCGUUAAUCGGAAUUACUGGGCGUAAAGCGCGCGUAGGCGGUUUGGUUAGUUGGAUGUGAAAGCCCAGGGCUCAACCUUGGAACUGCAUCCAAUACUGCCAGGCUAGAGUACGAGAGAGGGGGGUAGAAUUCCACGUGUAGCGGUGAAAUGCGUAGAGAUGUGGAGGAAUACCAGUGGCGAAGGCGGCCCCCUGGAUCGAUACUGACGCUGAGGUGCGAAAGCGUGGGGAGCAAACAGGAUUAGAUACCCUGGUAGUCCGCGCCGUAAACGAUGUCAACUAGCCGUUGGGAGGGUCAUCCUCUGAGUGGCGCAGCUAACGCACUAAGUUGACCGCCUGGGGAGUACGGUCGCAAGAUUAAAACUCAAAUGAAUUGACGGGGGCCCGCACAAGCGGUGGAGCAUGUGGUUUAAUUCGAUGCAACGCGAAAAACCUUACCUACUCUUGACAUCCUUGGAAUCUCUUGUAAUGAGAGAGUGCCUUUUGGAACCAAGUGACAGGUGCUGCAUGGCUGUCGUCAGCUCGUGUCGUGAGAUGUUCCGUUAAGUCGGAUAACGAGCGCAACCCUUACCCUUAUUUGCCAGCGGUUCGGCCGGGAACUAUAAGGGGACUGCCGGUGAUAAACCGGAGGAAGGUGAGGACGACGUC
rnacentral:rRNA from 1 species